UCCGUUUGUUUGGGAGCAAAUUAAUCUAAAGAACUCCCCCACAGAGUUGAACAAUUUAUUUUCCAAUAGCAUUUUCACAUAGCAUGAUAGAAUAGUUUCUCGGACAUACUAUUUGAUAACCCUCCACCACUAGAGCCCUUUCCAACUGUCUUGCAAUCUGAAUAAGGGCCAACCGCAGGUGAAAUACAAGAUACACACACUGUUGUUGAACUUCACCAAAGGAAAACACUUCCCAACCGCUGCAGACCUACCUUGGUGGCUUUGUUGAUCAGCGACCGGACCAGGUCCUUGACGUUGUGGGACUUGUCUCUCUGGAAAUAGAUCUGCGUCUCGGACGGGCCGUACCUCAGCGGGGACUCGGGCCAGCCCAGCUCCAACAUCGGGGGCUCCUCGUCGGACAUCAUGGGGAAGUAGGUCCCGGAGGUAAACGCUGUCAGGUGAUGCAGGACCGGAGGCAGAUGAGUGAACAUGAUGGACGGCAGAGAUCGUCAGAUGAUGUGUGGCCUGUCACGACAAGAGCCGGCCCGACCGAAGCAACCCAACCAGCCGAGUGAAUCUCAACCACAACACUAGACCAUAACCCUGUUGAGGCUGAAGGGAGUCGACAGAGGAACAUGGAGAGAGAGAGGGUGUUAAGGCACCAGAAGGAGCAGGUCUGGGCAGGCUGGCUGUGAGAGACGAUGGGAACAGCCCGGGGAACAAAUUCGAUGUGACACACAUGAACAAACUGAAUCAAGAGAGCCGUUAUAAGCCUAUGGCCAUGUCUGAAACCGUUCACAAUAAAACACUAAUAUGGGCGUCAACACUUUUGAGUGCUGUUUAUAAAAACAUAAUGUACGAAUCUGGUACCCUAUUAAACGUACUUCUUUGUACCCACAAUGCACUAUGGGAUCAGUGUGCAACUGAAGCAGCCUCUUUUACAGCUGAGUCGUCACGAGACGUCUGGCCGUGUCAGCUUGUUAUAUAUUAGCGACCAACACACGUCACGCCUGUAGAUUCUCCUUGUAUGAUUUCCCCUAUUCGCUGCCUCAGUUGUUCCUAAAUAGUGUGCCGUGCACUGCCCACGA